rnacentral:RNase_P_RNA from 1 species
CCCGCAGACCGCCUUAUCGCUCUUGUUUAGGCAGGGGAGGAAAGUCCGGACACCACAGAGAAGCAUAGCGGGUAACGCCCGUCGCUCGAGCAAUCGGGAAGGACAAGUGCAACAGAAAGGAUGUACAGGUUAAGCUGUAGUGAAAUCAGGUAAACUCUAUGCGGUGAAAUUUCAAGUAUAUCAGCUUUCGCGCAAGCGAUAAAGGUUUCUCGCCUGAGGCUGAAGGGUAGAAAGCUAGAAUUGUCGGGUAACCGCCAAUCCAGAUAAAUGAUAAGGCUGCUUCCGUUUGGGAGUUGACAGAAUCCGGCUUAUAGGUCUGCUUUUUUU